AACGAACGCUGGCGGCAGGCCUAACACAUGCAAGUCGAGCGAAGCCUUCGGGUUUAGCGGCGGACGGGUGAGUAACGCGUGGGAACGUGCCCUUUGCUACGGAAUAGCCCCGGGAAACUGGGAGUAAUACCGUAUGUGCCCUUCGGGGGAAAGAUUUAUCGGCAAAGGAUCGGCCCGCGUUGGAUUAGGUAGUUGGUGGGGUAAUGGCCUACCAAGCCGACGAUCCAUAGCUGGUUUGAGAGGAUGAUCAGCCACACUGGGACUGAGACACGGCCCAGACUCCUACGGGAGGCAGCAGUGGGGAAUCCUAGACAAUGGGGGAAACCCUGAUCUAGCCAUGCCGCGUGAUCGAUGAAGGCCUUAGGGUUGUAAGGAUCUUUCAGUGGGGAAGAUAAUGACUGUACCCACAGAAGAAGCCCCGGCUAACUCCGUGCCAGCCGCCGCCGUAAUAC
rnacentral:rRNA from 1 species